UUUCCAUCAUUGCGUCAUUGCGUCUCUCACUGAAAGCCAUCUCGCUCGCUCUCAAAUUCGCUGCUAUUGUUUAUCUUCGUUGUUAGUUCUUAGUUCUUAGUUAUAACUUAGUUUGGUGUUCUAGUAGUUUAGCUGUAGUUUAAGUGUAGUUUUAGUUAUAAGUUUAGUUUAGUAAUUUUCGGACCUACCUGCCAUUUAAUUGUUUAGCUCCGAUAUCAAGAUGGCAAGCACUUCCAAUGCACGCCCUAAUCCCCCAAAGAGGAGGCGUGAGGAGGAUGGGAACGUUGCCCCUCCUAAGAGAAGGUGCAUUGCACCUCAA